AUCAACUUUCGAUGGUAGGAUAGAGGCCUACCAUGGUGGUAACGGGUAACGGGGUGUUAGGGCACGACACCGGAGAGGGAGCCUGAGAAACGGCUACCACAUCCAAGGAUGGCAGCAGGCGCGCAAAUUACCCAAUCCCGACACGGGGAGGUAGUGACAAUAAAUAACAAUACGGGGUCCUUUCGGGUUUCGUAAUUGGAAUGAGUACAAUUUAAAUCUCUUAACGAGGAACAAUUGGAGGGCAAGUCUGGUGCCAGCAGCCGCGGUAAUUCCAGCUCCAAUAGCGUAUAUUAAAGUUGUUGCAGUUAAAAAGCUCGUAGUUGAAUUUCGGGACUAGUACGCUGGUCGUGCCUUCGGUAUGUACUGGUGUUACUGGUUCCUACCUUCUGACGAACCGUCAUGUCAUUAAUUUGGUGUGGCGGGGAAUCAGGACUGUUACUUUGAAAAAAUUAGAGUGUUUAAAGCAGGCUCGCGCUUGAAUACAUUAGCAUGGAAUAAUGAAAUAGGACGUUCGAUCCUAUUUUGUUGGUUUCUAGGAUUGACGUAAUGAUUAAUAGGGAUAGUUGGGGGCAUUAGUAUUCAAUUGUCAGAGGUGAAAUUCUUGGAUUUAUUGAAGACUAACUACUGCGAAAGCAUUUGCCAAGGAUGUUUUCAUUAAUCAAGAACGAAAGUUAGGGGAUCGAAGACGAUCAGAUACCGUCGUAGUCUUAACCAUAAACUAUGCCGACUAGGGAUCGGAUGAUGUUAUUUUUAAUGACUCAUUCGGCGCCUUACGGGAAACCAAAGUGUUUGGGUUC
rnacentral:rRNA from 1 species